rnacentral:rRNA from 1 species
ACACCCCCAACAGCUAGCCCCCCACCCAAAAACAACAAACACCAUUAAUAAACCCGCAUGUAUAAAACAGCAAACAACAAACCAUUUUUCCUCCCUAGUAUGGGUGACAGAAAAGGACAUAAGGCGCAACAGAAAAAG